GAUGAACGCUGGCGGCGUGCCUAAUACAUGCAAGUCGAGCGAACAGACGAGGAGCUUGCUCCUCUGACGUUAGCGGCGGACGGGUGAGUAACGCGUGGAUAACCUACCUAUAAGACUGGGAUAACUUCGGGAAACCGGAGCUAAUACCGGAUAAUAUAUUAAACCGCAUGGUUCCAUCGUAAAAGACGGUUUUGCUGUAACACAUAGAUGGAUCCGGGCGGCUUUAGCUAGUUGGUAAGGUAAGGGCUUACAAAGGCAACGAUGCGUAGCCGACUGGGGGGGGGGUUGGGCCACAUGGGAAUUGAGACACGCCCCAAACCCCUCCGGGGGCCGCCGUAGGGGAAUCUUCCGAAAUGGGGGAAAGCCUGACGGAGCACCGCCCCGGGGGUGAGGAAGGUCUUCGGAUCGUAAGACUCUGUUAUUAGGGAAGAACAGAUGUGUAAGUAAAUAUGCACGCUGUGACGGUACCUAAUCAGAAAGCCACGGCUAACUACGUG
rnacentral:rRNA from 1 species